rnacentral:misc_RNA from 1 species
ACGAAACAUCGCGGCUG